GACGAACGCUGGCGGCGUGGAUAAGACAUGCAAGUCGAACGAUCAUUAGCGGGUAGCAAUAUUCGCUGGUGAGAGUGGCGCAAGGGUGCGUAACACGUGGGUAAUUUGCCGCGAAGUUGGGGAUAACUCGCUGAAAGGCGAGCUAAUACCGGAUGUGAUUGUCGGGUGGCAUCAUCUGACAAUCAAAGUUGGGGACCGCAAGGCCUGACGCUUCGCGAUAAGCCCGCGGCCUAUCAGCUAGUUGGCGGGGUAACGCCCACAAGGCGAAGACGGGUAGCUGGUCUGAGAGGACGACCAGCCACACUGGAACUGAGAGACGGUCCAGACACCUACGGGUGGCAGCAGUCGAGAAUUUUUCUCAAUGGGGAAACCCUGAAGGAGCGACGCGCGUGGGGGAUGAAGGGCUUCGGCCUGUAAACCCCUGUCAUUUGCGAACAAACCUCAUUCAUGAACAGUGGGUGAGCUGAUUGUAGCGAAA
rnacentral:rRNA from 1 species